rnacentral:rRNA from 1 species
UACGUAGGGUGCAAGCGUUGUCCGGAAUUAUUGGGCGUAAAGAGCUCGUAGGCGGUUUGUCGCGUCGUAUGUGAAAACCCGGGGCUCAACCCCGGGCCUGCAUUCGAUACGGGCAGACUAGAGUUCGGUAGGGGAGUCUGGAAUUCCUGGUGUAGCGGUGAAAUGCGCAGAUAUCAGGAGGAACACCGGUGGCGAAGGCGGGACUCUGGGCCGAUACUGACGCUGAGGAGCGAAAGCGUGGGGAGCGAACAGG